UAGCGUAGGGGGCAAGCGUUGUCCGGAUUUAUUGGGCGUAAAGAGCGUGUAGGCGGCCAUACAGGUCCGGUUGAUGAAACUGGAGGCUUAACCUCCAGACGUCGAUGGAAACCGUAUGGCUAGAGUCCGGAAGAGGAGAGUGGAAUUCCUGGUGUAGCGGUGAAAUGCGCAGAUAUCAGGAAGAACACCCGUGGCGAAGGCGGCUCUCUGGACCGAGACUGACGCUGAGGCGCGAAAGCGUGGGGAGCAAACAGG
rnacentral:rRNA from 1 species